rnacentral:rRNA from 1 species
GACGAACGCUGGCGGCGUGCUUAACACAUGCAAGUCGAACGGAAAGGCCCUGCUUUUGUGGGGUGCUCGAGUGGCGAACGGUGAGUAACACGUGAGUAACCUGCCCUUGACUUUGGGAUAACUUCAGGAAACUGGGGCUAAUACCGGAUAGGAGCUCCUGCUGCAUGGUGGGGGUUGGAAAGUUUCGGCGGUUGGGGAUGGACUCGCGGCUUAUCAGCUUGUUGGUGGGGUAGUGGCUUACCAAGGCUUUGACGGGUAGCCGGCCUGAGAGGGUGACCGGCCACAUUGGGACUGAGAUACGGCCCAGACUCCUACGGGAGGCAGCAGUGGGGAAUAUUGCACAAUGGGCGGAAGCCUGAUGCAGCAACGCCGCGUGCGGGAUGACGGCCUCGGUGUAACGACUUCGUCCUCGUGACGAAGACGUGAGUGACGGUAA